rnacentral:rRNA from 1 species
CUAACACAUGCAAGUCGAACGAGAGAGAGGGAGCUUGCUUCCUCGAUCGAGUGGCGAACGGGUGAGUAACGCGUGAGGAACCUGCCUCAAAGAGGGGGACAACAGUUGGAAACGACUGCUAAUACCGCAUAAGCCCACGGCUCGGCAUCGAGCAGAGGGAAAAGGAGCAAUCCGCUUUGAGAUGGCCUCGCGUCCGAUUAGCUAGUUGGUGAGGUAAUGGCCCACCAAGGCGACGAUCGGUAGCCGGACUGAGAGGUUGAACGGCCACAUUGGGACUGAGACACGGCCCAGACUCCUACGGGAGGCAGCAGUGGGGAAUAUUGCACAAUGGGGGAAACCCUGAUGCAGCGACGCCGCGUGGAGGAAGAAGGUCUUCGGAUUGUAAACUCCUGUUGUUGAGGAAGAUAAUGACGGUACUCAACAAGGAAGUGACGGCUAACUACGUGCCAGCAGCCGCGGUAAAACGUAGGUCACAAGCGUUGUCCGGAAUUACUGGGUGUAAAGGGAGCGCAGGCGGGCGAUCAAGUUGGAAGUGAAAUCCAUGGGCUCAACCCAUGAACUGCUUUCAAAACUGAUUGUCUUGAGUAGUGCAGAGGUAGGCGGAAUUCCCGGUGUAGCGGUGGAAUGCGUAGAUAUCGGGAGGAACACCAGUGGCGAAGGCGGCCUACUGGGCACCAACUGACGCUGAGGCUCGAAAGUGUGGGUAGCAAACAGGAUUAGAUACCCUGGUAGUCCACACCGUAAACGAUGAUUACUAGGUGUUGGAGGAUUGACCCC